AUUGAACGCUGGCGGCAGGCCUAACACAUGCAAGUCGAGCGGAGCGGCGGACGGGUGAGUAAUGCCUGGGAAUCUGCCUGGUAGUGGGGGAUCAAGUCGGGAAACGGGCGCUAAUACCGCAUACUAUCAGAUGAGUCUAGGUCGGAUUAGCUAGUUGGUGGGGUAAAGGCUUACCAAGGCGACGAUCCGUAACUGGUCUGAGAGGAUGAUCAGUAACACUGGGACUGAGACACGGUCCAGACUCCUACGGGAGGCAGCAGUGGGGAAUAUUUGGCAAUGGGCGAAAGCCUGAUCCAGCCAUGCCGCGUGAGUGAAGAAGGUCUUCGGAUUGUAAAGCUCUGUUGGUUGAGAAGCGUUACCAACACAGUAAGCACCGGCUAACUACGUGCCAGCCGCCGCGGUAAUAC
rnacentral:rRNA from 1 species